AUUGAACGCUGGCGGCAGGCCUAACACAUGCAAGUCGAACGAGUGGCGGACGGGUGAGUAAUGUCUGGGAAACUGCCUGAUGGAGGGGGAUAACUACUGGAAACGGUAGCUAAUACCGCAUACCAUCAGAUGUGCCCAGAUGGGAUUAGCUUGUUGGGUGGGUAACGGCUCACCAAGGCGACGAUCCCUACCUGGUCUGAGAGGAUGACCAGCCACACUGUAACGGAGACACGGGCGAGGCUCCAACGGGAGGCAGCAGUGGGGAAUAUUGCACAAUGGGCGCAGGCCUGAUGCAGCAAUGCCGCGUGAAUGAAGAAGGCCUUCGGGGUGUAAAGUACUUUCAGCGGGGAGGCGUUACCCGCAGAAGAAGCACCGGCUAACUCCGUGCCAGCCACCGCGGUAAUAC
rnacentral:rRNA from 1 species